rnacentral:misc_RNA from 1 species
AAAUAUUAAUUAUCUGAACUCUCGAUAUUAGUAUCUUAAUAGUUUUUAUGUGUUUAAAAUGAUAAAUUGAUAUUUGCUUUUUAGUGAAAUAAAUAGUAAAUGGAGUUUUACAAGUGUCCGUAUGCUAAUGUGUUGUGAAAGUGAGUGAUAAAUGCGGAAAAAACGUGAAUUACUAUUGAAGUGGUUUGUUUACCAAAUAGUUGGCAACACUGUAAAUCGCCUUUGCGCAUUUUGACAACCAGUGUUCUUUUUACAUGACGCGAAUUAUAUGUUAUAAAUAAUUUUUCUCACUUUUCUAUGUAAAACUAUUUCGUAAUUUAAAACUUUUGUGCGCGAUAGUAUUUUCAUGCGACACGUGAUAAACACUCCCGU